AAUGCAUACAAAACAUGCAGUGUAAACAGCCUCGCGUCUCCACAUGCAAAUACGUCGAUCAAAAAAGGAUAAUGACUUUUUAUAUAUUUUUUUUUUCUACGAAACAAUACGGCAUUAAGAACCCACGUAUUUGACAUCACGUAUGCCAUCAACUUACAAAGCAGAGAAGCUGAGCAAGAUUUAAGAAGAACAAAUCAAUAUUUUAG